rnacentral:rRNA from 1 species
UACGGAGGGUGCAAGCGUUAUCCGGAUUCACUGGGUUUAAAGGGUGCGUAGGCGGGCAUGUAAGUCCGUGGUGAAAUCUCCGAGCUUAACUCGGAAACUGCCAUGGAUACUAUGUGUCUUGAAUGUUGUGGAGGUGAGCGGAAUAUGUCAUGUAGCGGUGAAAUGCUUAGAUAUGACAUAGAACACCAAUUGCGAAGGCAGCUCACUACACAAAAUAUUGACGCUGAGGCACGAAAGCGUGGGGAUCAAACAGG